GCUACACCUCUCAUAUGUCUCUACAAUAUCAGACUAGAGUCAAGCUCAACAGGGUCUUCUUUCCCCGCUGUUGUGUGCAGGCCCGUUCCCCUGCCUGUGGGUUCGCUAGAUAGUAGGUAGGGACAGUGGGAAUCUCACUGUUUAAUUAAAACAAAGCAUCGCGAUGGUUAUGGCUGAUGAUGACGCGAUGUGAUUUCUGCCCAGUGCUCUGAAUGUCAAAGUGAAGAGAUUCAAUCAAGCGCGGGUAAACGGCGGGAGUAACUUUAAUAA